CAAUAGCGUAUAUUAAAGUUGUUGCAGUUAAAAAGCUCGUAGUUGGAGUUCAGAGUGAGCUCGUCCGGUCGGCCCUUAUGGGGCUACAGGAAUCUGGUUGACUCUCUCUUUGUUUGUGAUCCUGUCAGCAGUUAACUCUGUUGAUGUGGAGUCCACAUCGUUUACCUUGAAAAAAUUAGAGUGUUCAAAGCAGGCGUUUGCUUGAAUAUAUUAGCAUGGAAUAAUGGAAUAGGACGCUGGUUCUAUUUUGUUGGUUUUGAGAACCAGAGUAAUGAUUAAUAGGGACAGUUGGGGCGAUUCAUAUUUCAUUGUCAGAGGUGAAAUUCUUGGAUUUAUGAAAGAUGAACUUCUGCGAAAGCAUUUGCCAAGGAUGUUUUCAUUAAUCAAGAACGAAAGUUAGGGGAUCGAAGAUGAUUAGAUACC
rnacentral:rRNA from 1 species